rnacentral:rRNA from 1 species
GCAUAUCAAUAAGCGGAGGAAAAGAAACCAACAGGGAUUGCCCUAGUAACGGCGAGUGAAGCGGCAACAGCUCAAAUUUGAAAGCUGGCUCCGGCCCGCAUUGUAAUUUGCAGAGGAUGCUUCUGGCAAGGUGCCUUCCGAGUUCCCUGGAACGGGACGCCAUAGAGGGUGAGAGCCCCGUAUGGAUGGACACCAAGCCUGUGUGAAGCUCCUUCAACGAGUCGAGUAGUUUGGGAAUGCUGCUCAAAAUGGGAGGUAAAUCUCUUCUAAAGCUAAAUACCGGCCAGAGACCGAUAGCGCACAAGUAGAGUGAUCGAAAGAUGAAAAGCACCUUGAAAAGGGGGUUAAACAGUACGUGAAAUUGUUGAAAGGGAAGCGCUUGUGACCAGACUUGCGCCGGGCGGCUCAUCAGGGGUUCUCCCCUGUGCACUCCGCCCGGCUCAGGCCAGCAUCGGUUCUCGUGGGGGGAUAAGAACGGUGGGAACGUGGCCCCCCUCCGGGGGGGUGUUAUAGCCCGCCGUACGAUACUCUCGCGGGGACCGAGGUUCGCGCUCCGCAAGGAUGCUGGCGUAAUGGUCAUCAGCGACCCGUCUUGAAACACGGACCAAGGAGUCGUCCAUUAGAGCGAGCGUUUGGGUGUAAAACCCGCACGCGUAAUGAAAGUGAACGCAGGUGAGAGCUUCGGCGCAUCAUCGACCGAUCCUGAUGUCUUCGGAUGGAUUUGAGUAAGAGUUUUAACGGACGGACCCGAAAGACAGUGAACUAUGCUUGUAUAGGGUGAAGCCAGAGGAAACUCUGGUGGAGGCUCGCAGCGGUUCUGACGUGCAAAUCGAUCGUCAAAUAUGAGCAUGGGGGCGAAAGACUAAUCGAACUGUCUAGUAGCUGGUUACCGCCGAA